UACGUAGGGGGCAAGCGUUGUCCGGAUUUAUUGGGCGUAAAGAGCGUGUAGGCGGCCAUACAGGUCCGUUGUGAAAACUGGAGGCUUAACCUCCAGACGUCGAUGGAAACCGUAUGGCUAGAGUCCAGAAGAGGAGAGUGGAAUUCCUGGUGUAGCGGUGAAAUGCGCAGAUAUCAGGAAGAACACCCGUGGCGAAGGCGGCUCUCUGGGACGUUACUGACGCUGAGACGCGAAAGCGUGGGGAGCGAACAGG
rnacentral:rRNA from 1 species